rnacentral:lncRNA from 1 species
CACGGAGGAGAUGGAGUGAUGGAAGUCACACUGCUAGUGAAGAGCUGCUUCCUCGGAAGAGCACCCUAAGGCUGGGUGGCCACUAUCCUUUGCCUUGGCAGAGCCAGCCAGAAGGCCUAGGCACAACCCGCUGUGUUUGCUGACAGCCAACCUACCCUGGAGUUCCGGAGCGGCUUCCUAGGAAGUCUGGGGAGCGGUAGAAAAAUGGCUCUGCUGAGAUGAGCUCUUAAUUAAUGCACUGAGAGCCUGCAAGUCCCACCUCUCAACAGGAAUGAUUGACGUCCAAGGAUACAUAAAUUACACUAACUGAGCUCUGCCUCUAUAUAAGCUUUCCACAUCCAACUCAUCAGAGAAGCUAGGCUUGUACCAUAACCAAUACCCCUGCUUGGCAACUCUAAUGAGCAAACUGCCGCAAAAUUGAGAGAGAACACACCUUUUUGAUUUCCUGCUCUUCUAAGACACAGUGAUUUAGAAUUUCUGUUCAAGCAAGAGAACUAAAGACUUCUUUAAAGAAGAGAAGCUACCAGUCUGACCCUGACUCAGGCCUCCGGAAGAAACCACUCGCUAAUCACAGUCUGUCUUGCACCCAGACACGGCAUCUCAGACACUGCACAAAUUAAGAAGUCACCCUCAAAACCUCUAUACAGUGCAGGAAUACAGCUAAGACACCACACCCG